rnacentral:rRNA from 1 species
UUCCGUAGGUGAACCUGCGGAAUGGACAUUG